rnacentral:rRNA from 1 species
GUCUAUGGACAUACCACCCUGAAUGCGCCUGAUCUCAUCUGAUCUCGGAAGCUAAGCAGAGUCGGGCCUGGUUAGUAAUUGGAUGGGAGAUUAAACUGUGGCAAUAAAAAUCUGUGACUU